CAACUCGCCUGCAUGAAGUCGGAAUGCUAGUAAUCGCGGAUCAGCAUGCCGCGGUGAAUACGUUCCCGGGCCUUGUACACACCGCCGUCACACCAUGGGAGUCGGUAACACCCGAAGCCGAUAGUCUAACGAAAGAGGACGUCGUCGAAGGUGGGAUUGAUGACUGGGGUGAAGUCGUAACAAGGUAUC
rnacentral:rRNA from 1 species